rnacentral:rRNA from 1 species
UACGGGGGGAGCAAGCGUUGUUCGGAUUUACUGGGCGUAAAGGGCGCGUAGGCGGCCACCGCAAGUCGACUGUGAAAUCUCCGGGCUUAACUCGGAAAGGUCAGCCGAUACUGCGGGGCUAGAGUGCAGAAGGGGCAACUGGAAUUCUCGGUGUAGCGGUGAAAUGCGUAGAUAUCGAGAGGAACACCUGCGGCGAAGGCGGGUUGCUGGGCUGACACUGACGCUGAGGAGCGAAAGCGUGGGGAGCAAACAGG